rnacentral:rRNA from 1 species
AGGAUGAACGCUGGCGGUGUGCCUAAUACAUGCAAGUCGUACGGAAAGGCCCUUCGGGGUACUCGAGUGGCGGACGGCUGAGUAACGCGUGGGAACGUACCCUAAAGUGAGGAAUAACUGCCCGAAAGGGUGGCUAAUGCCGCAUAUGCUCUUCGGAGUAAAGCUUCGGCGCUUUGGGAGCGGCCCGCGUCCGAUUAGCUAGUUGGUAAGGUAAUGGCUUACCAAGGCGACGAUCGGUAGCUGGUCUGAGAGGAUGAUCAGCCAGACUGGGACUGAGAACGGCCCAGACUCCUACGGGAGGCAGCAGUAGGGAAUUUUCCACAAUGGGCGCAAGCCUGAUGGAGCAACACCGCGUGCAGGACGAAGGCCCUCGGGUCGUAAACUGCUUUUAUUGUGACGAUUAUGACGGUAGCAGAUGAAUAAGGAUCGGCUAACUCCGUGCCAGCAGCCGC